rnacentral:tRNA from 1 species
ACCGAAAUAGCUCAGUUGGCAGAGCGUUAGAGUAAAGGUCGAAGGGUCCAUGGUUCGAUCCCGGAAUUCGGCA